GUGAAACAGUAAUCCCAUGCUUGUUGCCUUCCCUUAGGAGAAGAGAGAACUGCAGGUCACUGGGAAUUUCAUUGCUUCAGCCCAGAAGUGAAGCGUCACUGUCACUCACUGCCACAAGUGCUGGAACGUGCAGACCUCCCUGAGCCUCAGAAGGAGUGGAGGACUGCAUAUCAGAUCACACCAUGCUCAUUCAUACACAAAGAAGUCUGGGAGCAGAGCAGCCACCCACUCUCUCCAUGUCAGCCAGCGGUCCAAUGGACAAGGUCAUGUUCUGCGACUGGUUUAUCACUUCCUGCCAGUGGCCACUGCAUGAGAUACCUGGACAACUUAUCUACAUGAGAAACAAUGUCUAUGGAGAUGAAAAAUAAGUGUCUGGUGGAGUCUUCAGGGUUUUCUACAUAUAAAAUCAUAUCAUCUGCAAAUAGUGGCAGCAUUAUUUCUUACUUUCUAAUUUGAGUAUCUUUUAUUUCUCUUUCUUGCCUAAUUGCUCUGGCUAAAAAUCUGCACAAAAAAGGAAAUCAUCAAC
rnacentral:lncRNA from 1 species